UUUGAUUGUCAAAAGGGAAGGUAUAUAGAUAGCCAGCUGGGAGUCAUAGUCUCUCCAGCGUGUCCUGGUUCUAGGGAGGUUUGCUGAUGGCAUCCUAAACAGAUGCUUCCGCUAGAAGCGGCUCUAUUCUGAUCCCCUCUCAGAUGGUCGAGAACUUCAUCUAUCCCUAAGGCCUGGCACACAAAGAUCAUCGGGACAUUUCUGUCCAGAUUUAGCGGCGUCGCAACCAAAACCAUCAAAGAACCAAUUUAAGAUUGUCCAAUAAGAUUACAGAUGAACCUUUUGUCAGAUGUGUGUUGAGCGUGGUUUUGUCCUGAUAAUACAGUCCAAAACAGGUAGGGGUCAACAAUCUUAAAUAUUGACUAAAUAUGGUCAAUUUUAUGACCAAAAAUCUUCGUGUGGGCAAAGCCAACUACCCUAUUUGGCUCCAAGCUAUUUGGCUCCAUGGACUGUGACAUAAACGUAAUGUAGGCAUUCAAGGAAGCGCCCUGACUGACGAACAUAGUAGUGGCAAUAAAUAAAACGUAUGGUAAAUAAAAAAAAAGCAUGCCCCUACCAAAAAUCUGGAUUUUUUUUUUGUAUAAAAAUGGGUUCUUCCAACAG